AGAGUUUGAUCAUGGCUCAGAUUGAACGCUGGCGGCAUGCUUUACACAUGCAAGUCGAACGGCAGCACGGGGGCAACCCUGGUGGCGAGUGGCGAACGGGUGAGUAAUACAUCGGAACGUGCCCAGUUGUGGGGGACAACCAGUCGAAAGAUUGGCUAAUACCGCAUACGACCUACGGGUGAAAGCGGGGGAUCGCAAGA
rnacentral:rRNA from 1 species